CCUUGGAGUUGGGAGGGUUCUGGCCUCGGUUCCCUGCCCCGCACAGGCUGGGCUGUGAGGACUGGCCCUGACCCACAGCGGGAGCUCAGUGGUCACAGAUGUUACCCACAGAACAAGGACCAUGGUCUCCCCUGUAAGAAGAUAGCUGUGCAUUCAGAGAUGGAUGGUUGUGAGAUGCUUCUGGCUCAAUGAUGGAGGUUACACACAGCA